rnacentral:rRNA from 1 species
UCGAGCGGAUGACGGGAGCUUGCUCCUUGAUUCAGCGGCGGACGGGUGAGUAAUGCCUAGGAAUCUGCCUGGUAGUGGGGGACAACGUUUCGAAAGGAACGCUAAUACCGCAUACGUCCUACGGGAGAAAGCAGGGGACCUUUGGGCCUUGCGCUAUCAGAUGAGCCUAGGUCGGAUUAGCUAGUUGGUGGGGUAAUGGCUCACCAAGGCGACGAUCCGUAACUGGUCUGAGAGGAUGAUCAGUCACACUGGAACUGAGACACGGUCCAGACUCCUACGGGAGGCAGCAGUGGGGAAUAUUGGACAAUGGGCGAAAGCCUGAUCCAGCCAUGCCGCGUGUGUGAAGAAGGUCUUCGGAUUGUAAAGCACUUUAAGUUGGGAGGAAGGGCAGUAAGUUAAUACCUUGGCUGUUUUGACGUUACCGACAGAAUAAGCACCGGGCUAUCUCUGUG